UUAACUAUAUUCGCUAAUCGCUCAGACUGCAAUCUUCAGACAGCGUUCGGGGGGUCUUCGGCAGGCGCAGGCCCGGGGGCAGAGGCCCCCCGGCGGCCGUGAGGCGGGCCUGCCGAAGCAACAGGGUACAAUAAACACGGGUGGGAGGUUGGACCCAGAGGGCCCUCACUCAGUAAUGAUCCUUCCGCAGGUUCACCUACGGAAA
rnacentral:misc_RNA from 1 species